GGCAGUUGGGUAUCUCAGUGGAUAGAGAACCAAGCCUGGAGAUGGGAGGUCCUAAUUUCAAAUUUGAUCUCAGACUCUUCCUAGCCAUGUGACUGGGCAAGUCACUUAACUCCCAUUGGCUAGCCCUUACCACUCUUCUGCCUUGGAACCAAUACAUAGUAUUAAUUCUAAGAUAGAAGGAAAGGGUUUAAAAAACAACAGCAGCAACAACAACAACAAAAAACCUUGAAUGGGUUCACAAAGGGACAUGCCAAAAAACAAGAACUUAGCCCUUAUUCUGGUACCUCGCUUUAUCUCAGAGGCUGCAUCCUUCUAGGACCUCAGGACUGCCCCCUUUGGAGGUGGAAGGACUAUAAAUCUGACAAUUCUGUGCUCACUUCCAGUGCCAAGAACAGUCCUCAAGGUCCGGAAUCCAGGCAAGAGUUGAUGAGGACCUAAACUAAAGGGGUGGUGACUAUGUCAAGGGAGAGAAAGGAACAUAUUCCAAUGAAGUUGUGAAGGCAGAAUGAUAAGAUUUGGCAACAGCCUGGAUAUGUGUGGUGAGUAAAAGUGAGGAGCCAAGGAUUAGCAAUUACCCAAUUUUAUAGAUAAAUAGAUCGAGGUCCUAAACAACAGAUAAUUAAUCUGUCUCAACCAAUCAAUCUAUAAACAUUUAAGCAUCAACUAUGUGCCAGGUGGUGUGUUAAGCAAUGAAGAUACAAAAAGAGACAAAAGAAUAUCCCUACCCUCAAGAAGUUUACAUAGGUUGUAUGUUGUAGAUCUGCAGUUUGAACUCUCUCCUAAUUCUGUAAUCAAUUAUUUCUAACAUGUC
rnacentral:lncRNA from 1 species